rnacentral:rRNA from 1 species
AAGAGAGUUUGAUCCUAGCUCAGGAUGAACGCUGGCGGCGUGGAUAAGGCAUGCAAGUAGAACGCCGAGCACCACUUUGUUUCUAAUUUUCUCAGUUUAAAGUUCAGGUUUUAAUGAUCUAUUUUAAUGAGAAGUGAUUGGAGUUAAAGUGGUGCUCGGAGUUGCGAACGAGGUAGUAAUACAUAGGUACAAACCCCAGAGUCAGGAAUAACCUACCGAAAGGUAGGCUAAUACUUGAUGGUCCCGCAAGGGUAAAGAUUUAUCGCUUUGGGAUUGGCCUGUGCAGUAUCAGCUAGUUGGUAGGGUAAUGGCCUACCAAGGCAAUGACGCUUAGGAGAGCUGAGAGGCUGACCUCCACCGAUGGUACUGAGACACGGACCAUACACCUACGGGUGGCUGCAGUCGAGAAUCUUCCGCAAUGGACGCAAGUCUGACGGAGCGACGCCGCGUGAUUGAUGAAGUCUUUCGGGAUGUAAAGAUCUUUUAUGUAGGAGAAAGUUUUGAUAGUACUACAUGAAUAAGGGGUUGCUAAACUCGUGCCAGCAGCAGCGGUAAUACGAGUACCCCAAGCGUUAUCCGGAAUUAUUGGGCGUAAAGGGUAUGUAGGUUGUUAUGUUAGUCUCUUGUCAAAGCCCCCGGCUCAACCGGGGAAUUGCGGGGGAAACGGCAUAACUAGAGGGCGUGAGAGGUUUGCGGAACUCAUGGUGUAGGGGUGAAAUCCGUUGAUAUCAUGGGGAACACCAAAAGCGAAGGCAGCAAACUGGCACGUUUCUGACGCUGAAAUACGAAAGCGUAGGUAGCGAAUGGGAUUAGAUACCCCAGUAGUCUACGCCCUAAACGAUGAUAUCUAGCUUUUCGGAGUAUCGACCCUCUGAGAGGCACAGCUAACGCGUUAAGAUAUCCGCCUGGGAAGUACGACCGCAAGGUUAAAACUCAAAGGAAUAGACGGGGACUUGCACAAGCGGUGGAUCAGGUGGCUUAAUUCGAUGGUAAACGAAGAACCUCACCAGGGUUUGAAACUCAUAGGAAAGACCUAAGAAACUAGGUAACUCCGCAAGGACUUAUGAGCAGGUGAUGCAUGGCCGUCGUCAGUUCGUGGUUUGAACUGUCCCCUUAAGUGGGUCAACGAACGCAACCCUCGUUGUCUGUUAUACGUGUCAGACGAGACUGCCCCCGCCUUAGGCUUUGAAAGCUAUUUUAUUAUAGUGUUCGAAAGUUAAGGCGGGGGAGGAAGGAGAGGAUGACGCCAGGUCAGCAUGUCCCUUUGAUACCCUGGGCUGCACACUUGAUACAAUGGUCACUACAACGGGUCGCGACGAGGUAACUCUGAGCUAAUCCUAAUAAAGGUGGCCCCAGUUCGGAUUGAGGGCUGAAACUCGACCUCAUGAAGUUGGAAUCGCUAGUAAUCGCGGGUCAGCUAUACCGCGGUGAAUACGUUCUCAAGUCUUGUACUCACCGCCCGUCAAGUCAGGGGAGCCGUGAGUACCCGAAAUCCCAGCUAGUCUGGGCUUAAGGUAAGCAUGGUGACAAGGACUAAGUCGUAACAAGGCACGGCUAGCGGAAGCUGGUCGUGAAUCAAUU